rnacentral:rRNA from 1 species
UACGAGGGGGCAAGCGUUGUUCGGAAUUAUUGGGCGUAAAGAGCUCGUAGGCGGUUUGUCGCGUCUGCCGUGAAAGUCCGGGGCUCAACUCCGGAUCUGCGGUGGGUACGGGCAGACUAGAGUGAUGUAGGGGAGACUGGAAUUCCUGGUGUAGCGGUGAAAUGCGCAGAUAUCAGGAGGAACACCGAUGGCGAAGGCAGGUCUCUGGGCAUUAACUGACGCUGAGGAGCGAAAGCAUGGGGAGCGAACAGG